GACGAACGCUGGCGGCGUGCCUAAUACAUGCAAGUAGGACGCAGUUGCGAACGAGUGAGUCACGCGUAGGUAACUACCUCUUAGAGGGGGCUAACUAUUGGAAACGAUAGCUAAUACCGCGUACUGAUAGGUGGACCUACGUUGUAUUGGCUAGUAGGUAGGGUAAUGGCCUACCUAGGCAACGGUACAUAGCCGACCUGGGAGGGAGAGCGAGCACACUGGGAAUGGGACAGGGCCCAGACUCCUACGGGAGGCAGCAGUAGGGAAGCGGCGGAAAUGGGGGUAACCGUGAGCGUGCAACGGCGAGGGAGUGAAGAAGGUGUGCGGAUCGUAAAGCUCUGUUUUUAAGGAAGAGGUACUUAACCAGAAAGGGACGGCUAACUACGUGCCAGCAGCCGCGGUAAUUC
rnacentral:rRNA from 1 species